AAUUAUAUUUUAUUGUGAACUAAACGUAAAAGUCAAUAUUACCAGGCUAACAGAGCCAUUGGAUUUAAGUUAUUUGCUUUCGACGCUCUCCCUUCUUUUAAAAAGGUCGGAUGGAUUCCACGUUGCUUGAUAAUCUUAAGAAGGCAGGGGUAAAGGACAGUGUAAUUUCUAUUCUUGAGGAUGAAGAGGUAUGUGUAUAAAAUUAAAUUUAGCACGAGUGCAUGAAUUUUUGCGUGUUGACGUUGUGACUAGACGACUUUUUGUUGCUUUUGUUAACACUGCUUGGUAAAUAUGGACUCCAUACCGAAAAAACAAUACUUGAAUUUAGUGG